rnacentral:rRNA from 1 species
AGAUCGAACUGUAGAGUUUGAUCCUGGCUCAGAUUGAACGCUGGCGGCAUGCCUUACACAUGCAAGUCGAACGGUAACAGGUUAAGCUGACGAGUGGCGA